CCGCCUCCUGUGCGGAGAUGGCCAAUCUUGCUCCGUCGCCUAGUUGCCUUCCAGAUUCUCCGAUUCUCCCCGAAUUCCUGAGAAGGGAUCCGAGCCGCGACGUCGGCGGCUCCCGCGGCGGAAGUCUGAUCCCGCAAAGACUCACGGAAGUCGGGCGGGGUACAGUUCGGGUCCCCGCUGGGCCCGCUAGGAUCCGGCCCAGUUAUUGACCUAGGUCCUGACUUGAGCUUGGUAUCUGACCUCAGUUCCAGAAUAGUAAUAGUUAAGACGUUAAGCGCGGUUCUGGGCACUUUACGUGCAUUAACUCAUUUCACAGGCAGCUCUGCAAACAACUAUGUGUUCCUCCUGUGUUCCUGUAGGGGGAAAAUAGGAGUUUCCAUGGAAACCUAGGCGUUACUUACAAGGACCCAGGGUGUCGCAAACUGCGGCCUGUGGUCCAAAUCCCCCUUCCGUUCUUGUGAAGCUUAAGAGGUCCUGUCCCCGUGUUGUAAUGAAACGACCUUUUUGCACCAAAGAUGUCUCAAGAAUUCUUUCUUCGCCAUCGGCUUCUAACCCUAAGGUCUUUCCUACAUCAGUCAUCACCAGAUUAGCAGGGUUUCUUUCUUCUUUAUCUAAAUCAGGGCUCCCACAGUUUGGUAAUGAGGAUGGGAUCGCAUUGGCUGGGGCUCUCUGUUGGCUCUGGGGUCUGCAGCUGACAAGUCCUGGGGCCUGAUGAAGCCAGCAGGUAAGGUAAGAAUUUUUACCUCGUUUGCUUUCUGGAUCUCUUGUCUGUUGGGAGAGGAUGGUAAAAUUUUCUCUUUGUCCGUUCCCUCUGGGUUCAGAUUGGCAAGAGAAAAGCAUUUGUAAAGAUUAGUUCUUUGGAUCCUUUGUGACUCUUGUAAAUUUGGUUUUGGGUACCCACUUGUUGAUCCCCCCUCCCAGGGACAGCUGUUGCUUUCUUGUAUGUCUCCUUUUGUGUGCUGAAAGCUUGACCUGGCUUCCUGUGUGCUGCAGGAGACCAGACCUCAGGUUAGGAUCCCUGAGAAUAGAAUAGUCAAGUACCAGACAGAAAAGUGAGCUGUACUCCAUUUGUGGCUAGGGUCAUUGCCUGCUCUCAGGAGAAUUGUCUGUCUGUCUUUCUUUUGGCUGGCUUUGGGAGUGGCUCUGGAUCUUGGGAAGAGUGCAUCUUUUAUACCGUCUUGGGGACAUCUCUUGUGUCCCUGGUUAGAUCAUAAAAGGCUUUGGUUUGGAUUUGUGUUCUGAAUCACUUGGAAUAGGUAUACUUUUGGUUAAAAAAAAUAAAGAGUUCAGUAGUGCCAGAAAAUUUUACUGUUUGUCUGAGCUGAAACCUGAUAAGAUAUUUGAGAGGAUUUUUUAAAUUCUUUUUUUU